CAGUGUACCCUCCGUCACGCGCACACGGACUAUUAUGCUGGAUCGUCAAGCCACAGUUACGGAUCAUCUACUGGGAAUCAGCGCAUCGAGUCAUGGUGGUCUUAUUUCAGAAGAGGAAGGUCUCAGUUUUGGAUGGACUUGUUUGGAGACCUAAGAGACUCUGGAAACUUAAAUGGAAGCCACGAACACCAAUGCUUGCUGAGAUUCUGCUUCAGAGGGGUUCUACAGAAAGACCUGGAUGAAUGCAAAGACCUCUGGAACAAACACAGGAUCCGGCCAAGCAGACUUGCAUCGUGUCCAGGGGGGAUUCCAAACGAACUCUAUCUCUUGCCUCACAGAUAUGGUUCAAGAGACUGUGGAUUUGCUGUUGAGGAGAGGGAACUGGAUGUGUUUCCCGAGGAGGGGCUACCGGUUGGAUUGUGUGGUGAUCCAAACAUUGAGGAAUAUUUACAACAGGCUGUACAACAAAACACACUGCAGCAGCCACAAGACUGGGAAUCGGCCACAGAACUGUAUUUGGCCCUGAAGGACAUAGCUGGGUUUUAGAUACCAACUGAACUUCAGUUUGUAAUGACAUUUGUCAGAGUUACUCUGACGAAG